rnacentral:tRNA from 1 species
CGGGAAGUAGCGCAGCCCGGUAGCGUACUUGGAUGGGGUUCAAGUGGUCGCUGGUUCGAAUCCAGUCUUCCCGA